AAAUGUGGUGUAGUGGUUUUAGCAUUGGACUAAAACUCUGGAGACCAGGGUUCAAAUCCCUGAUUGA